UACGUAGGGUGCAAGCGUUAAUCGGAAUUACUGGGCGUAAAGCGUGCGCAGGCGGUUAUGCAAGACAGAUGUGAAAUCCCCGGGCUUAACCUGGGAACUGCAUUUGUGACUGCAUCGCUGGAGUGCGGCAGAGGGGGAUGGAAUUCCGCGUGUAGCAGUGAAAUGCGUAGAUAUGCGGAGGAACACCGAUGGCGAAGGCAAUCCCCUGGGCCUGCACUGACGCUCAUGCACGAAAGCGUGGGGAGCAACAGG
rnacentral:rRNA from 1 species